UACGUAGGGCGCAAGCGUUAUCCGGAAUUAUUGGGCGUAAAGAGCUCGUAGGCGGUUUGUCGCGUCUGCCGUGAAAGUCCGGGGCUCAACUCCGGAUCUGCGGUGGGUACGGGCAGACUAGAGUGAUGUAGGGGGAGACUGGAAUUCCUGGUGUAGCGGUGAAAUGCGCAGAUAUCAGGAGGAACACCGGAUGGCGAAGGCAGGUCUCUGGGCAUUAACUGACGGCUGAGGAGCGAAAGCAUGGGGAGCGAACAGG
rnacentral:rRNA from 1 species